rnacentral:rRNA from 1 species
ACCUGCCCUAUGAUUAUAUUAAAUGGCUGCGGUAUUUUGACCGUACAAAGGUAGCAUAAUCAUUAGUUUUUUAAUUGGGAACUGGUAUGAAUGGUCGAACGAGAAAAAAACUGUCUCAAUUUAAUUUUAAUUAGAAUUUUAUUUUUAAGUUAAAAAGCUUAAAUAAUUUUAAAAGACGAGAAGACCCUAUAGAGUUUAAUAUUUUAAUUUUUAUAUAAAAAAUUGAAGAAUUUAAUUUAUUUUUGUAAUUAUUAAAGUAUUUAAUUGGGGCGAUUAAAAAAUUUAAUUAACUUUUUUUAAAUUUAAACAUUGAUUUAUGAAUAAUUGAUCCAUAGUUAAUGAUUAUAAGAUU